rnacentral:rRNA from 1 species
UACGGAGGGAGCUAGCGUUAUUCGGAAUUACUGGGCGUAAAGCGCACGUAGGCGGCUUUGUAAGUAAGAGGUGAAAGCCCAGAGCUCAACUCUGGAAUUGCCUUUUAGACUGCAUCGCUUGAAUCAUGGAGAGGUCAGUGGAAUUCCGAGUGUAGAGGUGAAAUUCGUAGAUAUUCGGAAGAACACCAGUGGCGAAGGCGGCUGACUGGACAUGUAUUGACGCUGAGGUGCGAAAGCGUGGGGAGCAAACAGGAUUGAGAAACCCU